rnacentral:rRNA from 1 species
AGUGAACGCUGGCGGUAGGCCUAACACAUGCAAGUCGAACGGCAGCACAGUAAGAGCUUGCUCUUACGGGUGGCGAGUGGCGGACGGGUGAGGAAUACAUCGGAAUCUACUUUUUCGUGGGGGAUAACGCAGGGAAACUUACGCUAAUACCGCAUACGACAUACGGGUGAAAGCAGGGGAUCUUCGGACCUUGCGCGAUUGAAUGAGCCGAUGUCGGAUUAGCUAGUUGGCGGGGUAAAGGCCCACCAAGGCGACGAUCCGUAGCUGGUCUGAGAGGAUGAUCAGCCACACUGGAACUGAGACACGGUCCAGACUCCGACGGGAGGCAGCAGUGGGGAAUAUUGGACAAGGGGCGCAAGCCUGAUCCAGCCAUACCGCGUGGGUGAAGAAGGCCUUCGGGUUGUAAAGCCCUUUUGUUGGGAAAGAAAAGCAGCAGGUUAAUACCCCGCUGUUCUGACGGUACCCAAAGAAUAAGCACCGGCUAACUUCGUG